GGGGGGCGUUUCCCCUCUUUUCCUCUCUCCCCCUCUCUCUCUCUCUCUCUCUCUCUCUCUCUCUCUCUCUUUUUCUCUGUUCAGUGUGAUUUCCAGAUAUUGCCAACACGCAGCCGUCGACUUGAGUUGCGCGGAGAGGAACUGACAGACUUCCACCAACAAUGGGGGAACCCUGGGCGGUCGGAGCGGCUCUGGAAACCUCCACCCUUUCCCCUCCAACUCUCUCCUGCUGCGCCGCCGCCAAGCGGGCGGGUGUGUGUGUGGGGGGGACGAUGGAGGGACGGGAGGCAGGAGAGACGGUGGAGGGGAGUGACCGCUUGCUCCCGUCUCGACCACGGGUAUUCUUGGGUUGAUAAUACAGAUGUCGAUGUUAUUGCUUGAGAAUACGCGUAGCUGAGCGGAAGCCAUCAUCCUCAGAUGUGUUUUCACCCCGAUGCGGGCGCCCUCACCCCACCCCCGACCCUCACCCAAACUUGUCCCCUCUUCUUCCUUCCCCUCCUCAGUCCUUCUACCUCUCUUACAGCAUCCUCCUCUCAGCCUCUCAGCAGGAAGUAAGCUCCUUCCAAGCGUGCAUCACACACCUUUUUAGCUCUGAUUGUUCAUCCGCUUGACAGAUGCCCUUAUCAGAGUGCAAGAGAAGAGGGAGAAUCCAAUAAGUGCACACGGGGUGGCGGCGGAGAGAGGGGACGGCGGCGAGACAUGACUCCGCACGACAGGACAGAGGGCCCAACGCAGUCGCACUGGAUCCUGUGGCUCGUCGCGUAUAAGGUCACAGUCAAAGAGCAAA